UCUGCAUUUCCCGAUUCGUGUGUGCUCACC
rnacentral:piRNA from 1 species